rnacentral:rRNA from 1 species
GAGGGUGGACAGGUGGUGCAUGGUUGUCGUCAGCUCGUGUCGUGAGAUGUUGGGUUAAGUCCCGCAACGAGCGCAACCCUCGCCUCUAGUUGCCAGCAUUCGGUUGGGCACUCUAGAGGGACUGCCGGCGACAAGUCGGAGGAAGGUGGGGAUGACGUCAAAUCAUCAUGCCCCUUAUGACCUGGGCUACACACGUGCUACAAUGGGCGGUACAAAGGGCUGCGAACCCGCGAGGGGGAGCGAAUCCCAAAAAGCCGCUCUCAGUUCGGAUUGCAGGCUGCAACUCGCCUGCAUGAAGCCGGAAUCGCUAGUAAUCGCGGAUCAGCAUGCCGCGGUGAAUACGUUCCCGGGCCUU